AUGACAACCAAUACAACUGGCACACUCGUGGUUUUGACACUGCCUGGGUUCCACCUGGUGUUGGCAUGGUACCAAGCAACCAAGAGGAGGACUGUGUUUACGAUCCAAAGAGAAUCAAAGUGAUGGCAUUGCUGGAUGUCGCCAACUUAAAAAAGGUAAACCCAUGGUUAAACAUUGAGCAGUGGAACUGAUGAACUCGAACUCUGCAUUCAGUGGGAGCAUCCAGCAUCACCUCAUGGUCAUCAGAAGAGGAUGGUUAGAAUCAGACGGUCCCACAUGAUACAGCUCAUAGGAAGUAGAAGCUGAUGAUUUAACAUGGCAAUCUAUAUGCAAUCAAUCAUAUAACCUUAUCAUAUCAAAUAUUUUCGAAAUAUAAUCAAUCAUAUUUAGUUGAUGUCAAUAAUACAUGUGUAUCAAUGAUCAAAUGUUUAAAAAAUGUUUUUCUUCCUGAUAUACAUCUCAAAUAAAUAUGUAAAAGUUC